rnacentral:tRNA from 1 species
GGAUUGUGGCUCAGUGAUAGGGCACUUGCCUAGCGUGGAUGAGGCACUGGGUUCAAACCUCAGCACCA